GCUACGGGAGGCAGCAGUGAGGAAUAUUGGUCAAUGGGCGCGAGCCUGAACCAGCCAAGUAGCGUGAAGGAUGACUGCCCUACGGGUUGUAAACUUCUUUUAUAAAGGAAUAAAGUGAGGCACGUGUGCCUUUUUGUAUGUAUUUUAUGAAUAAGGAUCGGCUAACUCCGUGCCAGCAGCCGCGGGUAUACGGAGGGUCCGAGCGUUAGCCGGAUUUAUUGGGGUUAAAGGGAGCGUAGAUGGGUUGUUAAGUCAGUUGUUAAAGUUUGCGGCUCAACCGUAAAAUUGCAAUUGAUACUGGCAGCCUUGAGUACAGUAGAGGUAGGCGGAAUGCGUGGUGUAGCGGUGAAAUGCUUAGAUAUCACGCAGAACUCCGAUUGCGAAGGCAGCCUACUAAACUGCCACUGACGUUGAUGCUCGAAAGUGUGGGUAUCAAACAGGAUUAGAUACCCUUGUAGUC
rnacentral:rRNA from 1 species